AUAGGAAAGGGAUUAGGGUUUAAAUAUUGUGACCAUUGAGCUGGUGAACGAGUCUCAUUCUCCCUCUCAUACAGACUCAGCGGCGGCGGCGGCGGCGGCAGCCUUCUUUCCGUCCACCGUUGUGAACCAAACCGGAGCGGCCUCAUCUCUUAUCUUCGAACUCAACUCUCCGAUUAGAUCUCCUCUCUCAGACGAAUCUCUCUCCGAUUCAAUCUCUCACUCGGUUCUCCUCUCGAAUCUUAAUAGAAAACCAAGGAACACGGUCUUCGCGCAGGGGAGGCCAAUUUCACUUCAGAGAGAUUUUUCUGUGGCUUGUUUGGUGAAUGAAGAAUCUGGAGAUGUUGUAUGGUGAAUCAAUCCACUAGAAAAUGAAGUUCUUCUCUCGGUUUUUCUGGCGUGAUCGCGAAGAGUAUCCGUUAUCCAAACCUAUUCCCAUAAUCUGUUUUCAAAACCAGUUAUCCAAACCGUUUUCCUUAACCCGGUUUUCAAACCACUUAUCCAAACCGUUUCCAAAACCCGGUUCUGAAACCAGAUAUCCAAACCGAUUCCUUAAACCGGUUUUGAAACCAGAUAUCCAAACCGUUUCCAAAACCCGGUUUUAAAACCAGAUAUCCAAACCGAUUCAUUAACCCGGUUUUGAAACCAGAUAUCCAAACCGAUUCCUUAACCCGGUUUCCGUAACUCGUUUUCAAAACCAGUUAUCCAAACCGUUUCCUUAACCCGGUUUUGAAACCAGUUAUCCAAACCG